rnacentral:rRNA from 1 species
UACGAAGGGGGCUAGCGUUGUUCGGAUUUACUGGGCGUAAAGCGCACGUAGGCGGAUCGUUAAGUCGGGGGUGAAAUCCUGGAGCUCAACUCCAGAACUGCCUUCGAUACUGGGAGCUCGAGUCCGGGAGAGGUGAGUGGAACUGCGAGUGUAGAGGUGAAAUUCGUAGAUAUUCGCAAGAACACCAGUGGCGAAGGCGGCUCACUGGCCCGGUACUGACGCUGAGGUGCGAAAGCGUGGGGAGCAAACAGG